UCCGGCCAUACCAAGUUGAAACACUGGUUCUCUUCCAUUCAGUGAAGUUAAGCAACAUCGAACCUGGCCAAUACUGAGAUUGGUGACCGCUCGGAAAUGUCAGGUGUUGUAAG